ensembl:misc_RNA Metazoa_SRP Metazoan signal recognition particle RNA
GCCAGGCAUGGUGGCGCAUGCCUGUAAUCCCAGUUACUCAGGAGGCUGAGAUGGGAGAAUUGCUUGAACCCGGGAGGCAGAGGUUGCAGUGAGCUGAGAUCACGCCACUGCACUCUAGCCUGGGCGACAGAGCGGGACUCCAUCUCAC